rnacentral:rRNA from 1 species
AGAGCGAACGCUGGCGGCGUGCUUAACACAUGCAAGUCGAACGCGCAGCAUUCUGUAGCAAUACAGGGUGUGGGCGCGUGGCGAACGGGUGCGUAACACGUGGAUAACCUUCCUUCAGGUGGGGAAUAACCCGGUGAAAAUUGGGCUAAUACCGCAUAACAAAACGAUGAGACAUCUUGUUGUUUUCAAAGGCGCAAGUCGCCAGAAGAGGGAUCCGCGGCCGAUUAGCUUGUUGGCGGGGUAAUGGCCCACCAAGGCAAUGAUCGGUAGCCGGACUGAGAGGUUGGCCGGCCACACUGGAACUGAGACACGGUCCAGACUCCUACGGGAGGCAGCAGUGGGGAAUCUUGCACAAUGGGCGAAAGCCUGAUGCAGCAACGCCGCGUGGGGAUGAAGCUUCUCGGAGUGUAAACCCCUUUCGACCCGGAAGAAGCCCGCAAGGGUUUGACGGUACGGGUAUAAGAAGCCCGGCUAACUACGUGCCAGCAGCCGC